UUUUAAUCAGUUAAAUUAAGCACAGCCAUGGCUCCCAAGAAUGUUUUUUUAUUCUUUGGAAUAAUCUUCAUUGCACUUCAAUUUUGCCACGUAUCUUGUCAAACAGGCUAUGACAAAACAGAAAGCAUGAAUCCUGGAAACCAAGACUCUUGGGGAGCCGAUAAACCAGAGGGUGAAGUUAAAGCUGCAUCAACUGAAGUCAAAGAAAGUGAAACACCAAUCGAAGAUGCACCAAUUGAUGAAGAAGCCAAGAAAUUAACUUUGGAUGAAUACAAAGCAUUACGUAGACAACGUGCCAAGCCAGCUUUCAAUUUAUCGAAAUUUCACACAAUGAUACUAGCUGUGUAAUAAAAUUAAAUGACUGGAAUAAUGUUUUGCUACAUUUGAGAAUGAUUUUGGAGACAAAUUUCAUACU